UCAAGUAAUUAAGUGCAUGUGGUGGAUGCCUUGGCAGUCAGAGGCGAUGAAAGACGUGAUAGCCUGCGAAAAGCUCCGGGGAGGCGGCAAAUAUCCUGUGAUCCGGAGAUGUCUGAAUGGGGAAACCCACUUACCAUAAGGUAGGUAUUGCAUGAUGAAUACAUAGUCAUGCAAGGCGAACGAGGGGAAGUGAAACAUCUCAGUACCCUUAGGAAAAGAAAUCAAUUGAGAUUCCCUCAGUAGCGGCGAGCGAAAGGGGAAGAGCCCAUUAAGUCAUAUAAGUUCUAGUGGAACGCUCUGGGAAGUGCGACCGUAGACGGUGAUAGUCCUGUACACGAAAGGGCUUAUAUGAUGAUGUCGAGUAGGGCGAGGCACGUGAAACCUUGUCUGAAUAUGGGGGGACCAUCCUCCAAGGCUAAAUACUCCUGACUGACCGAUAGUGAACCAGUACCGUGAGGGAAAGGCGAAAAGAACCCCUGUGAGGGGAGUGAAAUAGAUCCUGAAACCGCAUGCAUACAAGCAGUGGGAGCCGACUUGUUCGGUGACUGCGUACCUUUUGUAUAAUGGGUCAGCGACUUACAUUCAGUAGCGAGGUUAACCGUAUAGGGGAGCCGUAGGGAAACCGAGUCUUAAUAGGGCGUUUAGUUGCUGGGUGUAGACCCGAAACCGGGUGAUCUAUCCAUGAGCAGGUUGAAGGUUGGGUAACACUAACUGGAGGACCGAACCCACUGUCGUUGAAAAGCCAGGGGAUGACUUGUGGAUAGGGGUGAAAGGCUAAUCAAACUCGGUGAUAGCUGGUUCUCCCCGAAAGCUAUUUAGGUAGCGCCUCGGACGAAUACCAUUGGGGGUAGAGCACUGUUUCGGCUAGGGGGUCAUCCCGACUUACCAAACCGAUGCAAACUCCGAAUACCAAUGAGUACUAUCCGGGAGACAGACUGCGGGUGCUAACGUCCGUAGUCAAGAGGAAAACAAUCCAGACCGCCAGCUAAGGCCCCAAAAUUAUAGUUAAGUGGGAAACGAUGUGGGAAGGCAUAGACAGCUAGGAGGUUGGCUUAGAAGCAGCCACCCUUUAAAGAAAGCGUAAUAGCUCACUAGUCGAGUCGGCCUGCGCGGAAGAUGUAACGGGGCUAAAACUAUAUGCCGAAGCUGCGGAUGCAUAAUUUAUUAUGCGUGGUAGGGGAGCGUUCUGUAAGCCGAUGAAGGUGGAUUGAGAAGUCUGCUGGAGGUAUCAGAAGUGCGAAUGCUGACGUGAGUAACGACAAUGCGAGUGAAAAACUCGCACGCUGAAAGACCAAGGGUUCCAGUCCAACGUUAAUCGGGGCUGGGUGAGUCGACCCCUAAGGCGAGGCCGAGAGGCGUAGUCGAUGGGAAAUUGGUUAAUAUUCCAAUACUUCUGUGUAAUGCGAUGAGAGGACGGAGAAGGUUAAGUCAGCCUGGCGUUGGUUGUCCAGGUGAAAGGUUGUAGGCAUGCAUCUUAGGCAAAUCCGGGGUGCUCUAUGCUGAGAACUGAUAGCAAGCUGUACUUGUACAGUGAAGUGGCUGAUACCAUGCUUCCAGGAAAAGUCUCUAAGCUUCAGUUACACAGGAAUCGUACCCGAAACCGACACAGGUGGUCAGGUCGAGUAGACCAAAGCGCUUGAGAGAACUCUGCUGAAGGAACUAGGCAAAAUGGUACCGUAACUUCGGGAGAAGGUACGCUGCUUUUGGUGAUGGAACUUGCUUCCUGAGCUGAGAGCAGCCACAGAAACCAGGCCCCUGCAACUGUUUAUUAAAAACAUAGCACUCUGCAAACACGAAAGUGGACGUAUAGGGUGUGAUGCCUGCCCGGUGCUGGAAGGUUAAUUGAUGGGGUUAGCGUAAGCGAAGCUCUUGAUCGAAGCUCCAGUAAACGGCGGCGGUAACUAUAACGGUCCUAAGGUAGCGAAAUUCCUUGUCGGGUAAGUUCCGACCUGCACGAAUGGCAUAAUGAUGGGGGCGCUGUCUCCAGCAGAGACUCAGUGAAAUCGAAUUCGCCGUGAAGAUGCGGUGUACCCG
rnacentral:rRNA from 1 species